rnacentral:rRNA from 1 species
GAUGAACGCUGGCGGCGUGCCUAAUACAUGCAAGUCGAGCGAACGGACGAGAAGCUUGCUUCUCUGAUGUUAGCGGCGGACGGGUGAGUAACACGUGGAUAACCUACCUAUAAGACUGGGAUAACUUCGGGAAACCGGAGCUAAUACCGGAUAAUAUUUUGAACCGCAUGGUUCAAAAGUGAAAGACGGUCUUGCUGUCACUUAUAGAUGGAUCCGCGCUGCAUUAGCUAGUUGGUAAGGUAACGGCUUACCAAGGCGACGAUGCGUAGCCGACCUGAGAGGGUGAUCGGCCACACUGGAACUGAGACACGGUCCAGACUCCUACGGGAGGCAGCAGUAGGGAAUCUUCCGCAAUGGGCGAAAGCCUGACGGAGCAACGCCGCGUGAGUGAUGAAGGUCUUCGGAUCGUAAAACUCUGUUAUUAGGGAAGAACAAAUGUGUAAGUAACUAUGCACGUCUUGACGGUACCUAAUCAGAAAGCCACGGCUAACUACGUG